rnacentral:rRNA from 1 species
AACGAACGCUGGCGGCAUGCCUAACACAUGCAAGUCGAACGAGACCUUCGGGUCUAGUGGCGCACGGGUGCGUAACGCGUGGGAACCUGCCCUUAGGUUCGGAAUAACUCCCCGAAAGGGGUGCUAAUACCGGAUAAUGUCUUCGGACCAAAGAUUUAUCGCCUUUGGAUGGGCCCGCGUUGGAUUAGCUAGUUGGUAGGGUAAAAGCCUACCAAGGCGACGAUCCAUAGCUGGUCUGAGAGGAUGAUCAGCCACACUGGGACUGAGACACGGCCCAGACCCCUACGGGGGGGAGCAGGGGGGAAUGUGGAACAAUGGGCGAAAGCCUGAUCCCGCAAUGCCGGGUAAGGAUGGAAGGCCUUAGGGUUGAAAGUCUUUUUUACCCGGGAUGUAAAUAACGGUCCCGGGAAAAAAAGCCCCGCCUAACUCCGU